rnacentral:rRNA from 1 species
UACGUAGGGUGCAAGCGUUGUCCGGAAUUAUUGGGCGUAAAGAGCUCGUAGGCGGUUUGUUGCGUCGGCUGUGAAAUCCCGAGGCUCAACCUCGGGUCUGCAGUCGAUACGAGCAAACUAGAGUGUUGCAGGGGAGACUGGAAUUCCUGGUGUAGCGGUGAAAUGCGCAGAUAUCAGGAGGAACACCGGUGGGCGAAAGGCGGGGUCUCUGGGGCGAACAACUGACGC